rnacentral:lncRNA from 1 species
UUUUAAUAUCUGCAUGAAGACACUGCAUCUUUUCUAGGCUUUCUUCACUCGUACUAUUUGCAAAUUCUUUAACAUCUGUGACUUUGGAUGUGUGUUGUUGAUAUGUAGAAACCUUGGUAGGAUGUCUUCUUUCUUCAACUCUAGUCAAGGUGACUUAGUCUUCGUCUGGAAACUCAUCAACCACUUUGACCUUUUUACUUUGACUUAG